AACAAAGUAUUGAUUUUUAGCUAAGUUUCAUGGGAGGAAGCACAAUUUUUCUAGUGUGAAAGUUCAGGCAGGCUCUAAUAACUUCCUGUGUAAUUAAGUUGCUGGUGUUCUGCCAACCUGCAGGGAGCAGCAUCUCAAGAAGGCAAAACAGGGGGACAGCCGCGCCAGUACCCUUGGCCACACGCUGAGCAGAGACAGGCAGGGGAGCAAGGCCAUGGACUUCUGCAGAGGGCUGCACUCUCCAAAAGCUCUAGGAGCCAGCGUGAGCCCUCAGGGGCCACCAUGGCCAUCUCCAGUGGCCUGGAUUCGCUUCCAGUCUUUGGCUUCCCUUCUCAUUUCUGCGCUGGAGUGAAGAGCCUUGUUAGACUGGCUACCUCCUCUCUACUGUCCCUUAGCCAGCCAUUUGAUAGCCUUUGUGCCACAGCAUUGCUCUAAAGGCCAUGCAAGGUUUUCCUGGAAUCACAGUUGGAAGGGUCUCAGUCGAGCAUGCAUGCGUAGCAACUUCCUCUGCCAGCGCUCACACGCGUACGUCUUCCUCACUGCAACUCGCAUGUACUGCCCAUGCCUGUCCACCCACACAACCACAAAAGCAGAAGAAGCUGUGAAAACACAAACGAAAAUGGUGUAGUAGCUACUCUGUGACACAAUGGAAAAUGUUUUGCUGAAUAUUGUGCACUUCUAAAUAAGUACAGCCACUAGCUGCAAGGAUCUGUGAAAGUGUCAUUGUAAGGCUGAUGGACAGCAUCCAUUCUUAAUGGAAAUGUUGCUAGCUUUGUCAGCAAUGGAAAUCGUUGAAGAGUAUUUGGGAUAUUUCUGUCCCUGAAAGCUCUGCUCUUUAGGCCACAUUAUGAGAUAUAGAUAUAUAUAUCUAUCUGAUAUGUAUUACAAGUGUUUGUAACUCUACUACCUGCUUGGGAUUGAUCAAGGCAUUAUUCUCUUCAUUUCUAAAUCAGACUCCAUGGCUCCUAGAUGUACAUGUUCUUGUAUUACCCACUAACAGUGUGUUUUAAUUUUUACUGAAAAUAUUAUCUUUGGUACAUGUCUCUGACUGUGGUUUGGUGUGGAGCCAGUGCAAUAUGGUCUUGCCCAAGCAGAAGAUAUCCAUCUGGCAUUCUUCUUCCCACAGGAGGGGAAAAAAAUCUUUGGAAGGAAAGGAAGUCCUGCAGGGGAGGAUAUCUACUGCUCUAGCACCAUGGCCCCGAGCAUUUUCUGUGUUGCUGUGGGAGUGUAACUGAUGCGCCUCAUUAGAGUUUGAGAUUGUGGCCAUAAAAUAUGGAUCUGCUAAAGUCUGGGUGUAGAAGACACGGGCAUCCUACAGUUCCGACCAGUGCAGAUGAGAGUCUAUUAUGGAUGAUGAAAACAAGAUACCGCCACUCUGGGAUUGAAACUAUACUCAUAUCCAGUAAGAGAAUGGAAAGAAGUGUCUGCUUUUGAACUCUAGGAAACAGCAGAAAAGAGGCCGACAGAAACCUGUGGUCACUGUGCAUAACAGAGCUCUUUCCCCAUGCUCUUCAAAGCCCCCUCCUUUUCUCAUAUGCUGUCUACAAACAGAAAGAAGACCAGCUGGUGUCUCUUCUGGAAAUAACGGGGCUGGCCAAGAGUGGCUUGUGAAAAGAAGCAAGAACAGCAUGUUUUCAUGGUAAUAAAUUGUACAAGAUUGUCGUCGUGGUUUAGACAAGAGUCUGAAGGGAAACCCAGCCAUGUUCUUCCUGAUCCAUGAGGAGCACAGAUGACGUACUCUACAGAAGCUUUCCUGCAGAACUGUUGUGAUCCAGCCCUUUUCCAGAGUGUCACAGUUUAUACGUCAAUGAAUUGCCUGUGACUUCUACUAGUGGUUGCUGCUUUUUAUUUAUCAAUAUGUACUGGGCUGCCAUUCACUUGGCCUUGUUAGGGUCCUCUCCAUGUUUUUCCUGAAUUUUGGCCAAUACUAGAUAUCUGCCUCUGUGUGUGUGUGUGUUCUGCAGAUGCUCCCACAUAAUCACAUAGACCUUUCUUGGGUUCAUUCCCAUCAACAGCCCUGCUAGAAGACAUGAGACACCCUCUGCCUCAGUUUCUGUCAGGCCAUCUAGGUUGUUUGUACUUACUCUUCAUUUCACGCCUCUGUACUCUGCUCCAGUUGUUAGUGCAGAGUUGUUACCCGAGAUCAUGCAGGCACAUCUGAGCUGCCUUUGAACUUGUUAGCUCAGGUGAAGCUGGCAGCAGUAGGUAGUGUGGGAGGCUGCGAGCCCUCAUGGUUUGCACAGCCUCUGUUAGGUAGCUGUGAUGAUCUCUGUGCUGAUACACCUACCUUCCUGCAGUACGGGAACUACACUAGCAAAAAAUGACUUGCGUAAAUCUCCUCAGCCACAUUUCUGAGGGCACCUUGCUCAUGGCCUUCCUGUCCUAGCCAUGAGGAGGGUUUCUCUGGCAUCCCAGUCUGCCAUGUGUGUUAAACAGCCUUUCUGGGAAAAAAAAAGAAGCUUUAUCAAAGGCUUUUUGGCAGCUCUAGUGCAUUAUAUCCACUGAAGUAAUUCCACUGAUUCCAGCUUUUUUUAUAGGCCUCCAUCUAACAAAGCUCAGAAGCGGUUGCUUAGUAUUAAGCUACUGUCAGUGGGAGGGAUUUUUCCUAUGCUCAAAUGUAAAAGCAUACUCCUAUGCCAUACUCAGAGAAGGCUUUCUGUUUCAGUACUUGUCUGAAGAAACAGGCUAUUUCAUGGCAUGCAAGUCUUUCUUUACACUUUAAUUCCUAAAAACCUCCUUCCUGUAGCAUGCAGAGCAGGUACAGUUUCUGUGGUCCUACUUACUGAUAGCUGGAAAUGUUGGAUGCACUAUCUUUAUAAACUCAGGCCAAAAGAGCAUUCAGAUUAAGCAAUAAUUUGAGCAAGAUUAAGAGGAAGGGAGAGAACACACGGCCAGUUAGUCACCAGAAGUACACACGUAUGCAUAAAAUAAAUCCCCAACCUGUUAUAGUAAUGCACUUGGUUACUGGAAAUGCAAUACGAGCUUACUUUCAUGAGCAAGGAUGAAAGAACUUGUUUAACCUUUGUACAGCAUUUUCCACCCACACAGAAAAGUGACAUCAGAUGCUUCAUAUAGGUAAAAAACAAGUCAGCAUUUGGGAGACUCCCGAACAAGAGACAGAGAUACAUCCUUAGCACUAAGUCUGUUCACUUAACUUGCGACAUGCUUACGGUGGGUCACCUGAAACUUCUCUUUAGUUAUUUCUGGAUCUUAAUGACUCUGAUGCAGAAAGACAACCCUUCAGCCCUGUGCGUAAAGCACUGGACAUGAAGCACUUGCUAGAAGGUAUUUUGUGCUUGUGUAUGCAGUAUAAAGUAAGGAUUUUGCAUUUACAUCGGGGAAUAUUUCAGUUUCAGACAUGCUUGAAUACAAUUGAAUCAUUGGCACUGAAAAGGGAUCUUCACAAGGUCAGUCAUUAGCCAGCCUUUAAGUAAGAGCAUAAAGCUUUGGAAUAGGAGUUUAAAUGAGCAUCACCGAGACAGCUAAGGAAGAUGCAAGCUGGAAGUGUCUACACCUGUGCAACACCUGGCUGGAUUUCAGUCCACCUCGGUGCCACCUAAAAAGUACUGUAGUAUUUCUGAACUUCAAGAUUUCUAAUCUGUGUAUCUCCAUGCUAAUAUUUCGUGUCACUUUCAAAACAGGUUGGGGCUUAGUGCUUGCAUGUGCCAGCAUACAAGAAGAAAGGAUUUAGUUUUAAUUGCUGUUUUUGACCUAUGGGAACACCCCUAUUCCUUUUUCCUCCCUCCUGCCCGCCC